AUAAUGACUCAGCAAAAGUCUUUCUUUUGACUUGUCUCCAGCAUACAAAGAGUCUGGGAUACGUUGGUUUGCUUCGGAGAAUCAAAAAGACUGGAUGCAGACUGUGGAGAAAACGAAGGUGGGAUCAAGGCACCAACCUGCUGCCUCAGCUGGCAGGGUCACUUGUGUGUUCCAGGCUUGAGAUUCUUUGUAUAGCUGCAGGUUAGUGAUUGCUGAGCCGGUUUAAGUAGGAUUGUUGCAGAGGUGACCUUUCCAGUCUCCUACAAUUUAUAUCAUUUACUGGCAAUUGGAAAAACAGCUACAAUAGUAUCAGCUACCCGAGAGGCUAGUCCUUCUGCUGGGCCUCCUGGCCAGACAACAGACAUCUCAGUAGAUCUUAGGCCAAAAAAAAGCGUGCAAGUAGAUAUAGAAAGGGGUAAAAACAAAAUGUCCUGUAAAAGUUCUUACCCGUAUAAUCAAAGGUAGAAAGAACUCUUUAGAUUUGUUGGUAUAAGACAUUACAUAAGGCAAUAUGUUUACAUGAGGCUCAGCCAAAAGCAGGGAAUUAGGAAAAAAAAAUUGGAAUAGGGAUUCCUUCUCCUUCUUUAUUUCAAAACUUGUGUAAAUAAUGCCAACAAGCUUUUGUUCCUGUGCCAGAAAAACAAGGGCAUGAAUGAUUCAGUUGGUCAGUAUCACCUUGUACAAAAUAGGGUGCCUUCCUCCUGACAAAAUCAAAACGUGUUCUAAGUAGAUACUGGUUUUGUGAUUGAACAGUCCCUUCUGAGGGUAAAAUUGAAAAGCUUAUUUUAUCCAUUUUAAUAAAAUGGUGUUUUAAAUAAAGUUCACUUUAACAUAGUGAGGGUUUUGUCCUUUCAUCUAGUGAUUUUGUAUUAGGCUCAAACACAAUGUUAAACAGAAAUUUUAACAUGUAUCUGUCAUGAAAUAUAUAAAGCAACUGUGAAUAUAAGAAGACUUCCUAUGUCCCUGAUGAGACAAACUGGAAAUCUGUGGUCAAAUAGAUACUUGUAUUUAAUUUAUUCAUUUGAUAGUACAUGCUUAAAAUUACAUAUUACAUGGACCAAUACAUUUUAUUUUUAGAAAUAGAACUGUUUUCUAUUGUUACAUUUUAUGAAAACAAAAGACAUUCAAAUUAGUGGCAUAAAUAUUCUGUUGCAGAUUCUUCAUCAUGAAUGAGGCCACUUUUUGAAUUAUUAAACAGUUUUCCAAAGUA